UCUAAUAUGGCAGAUUAGUGCAAUGAAUUUAAGAUUCAUAUAUAAAUACAAAUAUAUUUUAUUAGAA
rnacentral:tRNA from 1 species